rnacentral:misc_RNA from 1 species
AAGUCGUAACAAGGUUUCCGUAGGUGAACCUGCGGAAGGAUCGUUAACACGUUCUUGUAAAUCAUAGCCCGGAAAGUAGUUUUGCUUCAGAGACCUGUGCGAAAAUUGGAACAGUUACAAUUCGAGCGGUAGUUCUACAGGCCUUGUUUCCCCAAGCAGUCAGUGUCUGAAAGUGUCAGUGAUUGUGCAAGGAUAACGCUUCACGAUUAUUGUAGACCGCACCUCAGGCCAAAGGGUCCCCAUGCCCCCUUACAACCCCACAGUUAAAUAAUACAUUGGGUAAAAAACCGAACAAUUGUUAACAAUGGAUAUCUUGGUUCUC